rnacentral:rRNA from 1 species
GAUCAUGUCAGGAUGAACGCUAGCUACAGGCUUAACACAUGCAAGUCGAGGGGCAGCAUGACGAUAGCUUGCUAUUGUUGAUGGCGACCGGCGCACGGGUGAGUAACGCGUAUCCAACCUUCCCGUUGCUAGGGAAUAACCUUGCGAAAGUAAGACUAAUACCCUAUGAAGUUCUUCGCAGGCAUCUAAAGAGAACGAAAGAUUUAUCGGCAACGGAUGGGGAUGCGU